rnacentral:rRNA from 1 species
AGGGUUUGAUUCUGGCUCAGGAUGAACGCUAGCUACAGGCUUAACACAUGCAAGUCGAGGGGCAGCAUGACGAUAGCUUGCUAUUGUUGAUGGCGACCGGCGCACGGGUGAGUAACGCGUAUCCAACCUGCCCUUGUCCAUCGGAUAACCCGUCGAAAGGCGGCCUAACACGAUAUGCAGUUCUCCGCAGGCAUCUAACGAGAACGAAAUGUGAAGGAGAAGGAUGGGGAUGCGUCUGAUUAGCUUGUUGGCGGGGUAACGGCCCACCAAGGCGACGAUCAGUAGGGGUUCUGAGAGGAAGGUCCCCCACAUUGGAACUGAGACACGGUCCAA